AAAGUCGUAACAAGGUUUCCGUAGGUGAACCUGCGGAAGGAUCAUUACACUCAGUAGAUCUCUACUGCUCAGGGGGAGCGGAAAGCUUGCCAGCCUGCUGGCCUGCGAGUACGUUCUCUGUCUGAACCCUUGUCUUUUUGCGUACUCAUGUUUCCUCGGCGGGCUUGCCCGCCGGCUGGACAACCUAUAAACCUUUUUUAAUUUUCAAUCAGCGUCUGAAUAAUUAUAAUAAUUACAACUUUCAACAACGGAUCUCUUGGUUCUG
rnacentral:misc_RNA from 1 species